rnacentral:rRNA from 1 species
AGAGCGAACGCUGGCGGCGUGCUUAACACAUGCAAGUCGAACGCGCAGCAUUCUGUAGCAAUACAGGGUGUGGGCGCGUGGCGAACGGGUGCGUAACACGUGGAUAACCUUCCUUCAGGUGGGGAAUAACCCAGUGAAAAUUGGGCUAAUACCGCAUAACAAAACGAUGAGACAUCUUGUUGUUUUCAAAGGCGCAAGUCGCCAGAAGAGGGAUCCGCGGCCGAUUAGCUUGUUGGCGAGGUAAUGGCUCACCAAGGCAAUGAUCGGUAGCCGGACUGAGAGGUUGGCCGGCCACACUGGAACUGAGACACGGUCCAGACUCCUACGGGAGGCAGCAGUGGGGAAUCUUGCACAAUGGGCGAAAGCCUGAUGCAGCAACGCCGCGUGGGGAUGAAGCUUCUCGGAGUGUAAACCCCUUUCGACCCGGAAGAAGCCCGCAAGGGUUUGACGGUACGGGUAUAAGAAGCCCGGCUAACUACGCGCCAGCAGCCGCGGUAA